GAUGAAGAACGUAGUGAAAUGCGAUAAGUAGUGUGAAUUGCAGAAUUCAGUGAAUCAUCGAAUCUUUGAACGCACAUUGCGCCCCUUGGUAUUCCGGGGGGCAUGCCUGUCCGAGCGUCAUUGCUGCCCUCAAGCACGGCUUGUGUGUUGGGCCCCGCCCCCCGGCUCCCGGGGGGCGGGCCCGAAAGGCAGCGGCGGCACCGCGUCCGGUCCUCGAGCGUAUGGGGCUUCGUCACCCGCUCCGUAGGCCCGGCCGGCGCCCGCCGGCGACCCCCCUCAAUCUUUUCAGGUUGACCUCGGAUCAGGUAGGGAUACCCGCUGAACUUAAGCAUAUCAAUAAGCGGAGGA
rnacentral:misc_RNA from 1 species